UCUUUCCAACUAACCAACUGUACUACUUUUCCAACUAAAAGACUACCUGUAUCAUUGCACACCUACCUAUAUUCUCCUCUACUUUAAUUCAAAAUUUCCUGAAAAACACGCUUUCUCACGGUCCUUUUCACGCUUUUCUUUCUCUUUCACCUUUUCUCUUUAGAUCUUUUUUUCUCUUUCUCUCUACAGAAGGUGAGGAAUCUUCUUCCUCUUCCUCAAUCUUCUUCGUUUUCCUCUUCAUAUUCCUCUUCCUCAACCUUCUUCCUCUUUCUAUCUCACUUCCCUCUCUUUGUUUUUCUCUAUCGUUGAGAUGAAACCCUAAUUUCUGAUUAUGUAAUGAUGCACGGAAUUAGGGUUUCAGAAAUCUUAUUUUGCCUAAAACAAGAGACACGAAAUCAAGACUUUGGAGAAAUCAUUGGUAUCCCUUUUUGUAUUCUACCAUGGUGAGUUUCGAUUUCGAUUCCGUAACUUAUGUGAAAGAAAAUGAAGCCGCUGAAAAUUGAUGAAACUGUCAUGGGUCCUCCCGGCUUCAGCGUCGAACACCUUUUUGGUAUCCUUUUUUGUAUUCUACGUUUUUAUGUUAUUUCUGAUUUUUUUUUUUGAUUUAGGUUUUUUCUGUUUUAGCAUUCAAAUCUGUGAUGGAUGCAAUGGAUUCAAGAACGUGAAAGUUAGGAUUCUGGUGUUGUGGUUAGGGUUUUUGUGGUGCAGGAGGAGAUUUUUGAACUUUUUUCUGCUUUGUAUUUUAUAUUUUAGGGUUGUGAGUUUUAAGCUCUAAAGUAUUGAUUUUUUAUAUGUUAGCAAUUAGUAGUACUCUGAUUAAUUUUAAUUUGUAUAUGUUAAGAGCUAUAUAGACAAGUUUGUUAACAAAACAUACACUAAUUGCCAUGAGUUGCAGUGAAAGUGAUUCCAGAUGCAGGUAUUCACAUGUUCUCUUGGUUUUACUUCUGUUUCUAUGCUCUAUCAAAAUAUGUGUGCCUCAUUAUCUUUAUUUUGAUUUUUUAGCUCCCAGCAUGUCGAUCCUCGUGCUUACAUGUUGAAGAAAACUGAAUUAAAAUAUGUGUUUAAUAAAUGAAUUUUUGUGUAAGUCAACAACAACCUUACUUUCAUUUAAAUUUCAAUCCAUAUUGAACACUUUCUCUGAAACAUAUGGAAGAGUGCUGAUGUAUUGUUGUUCAACACGGGACAUUGGUGGACUCAUCAAGGAUUCCUUCAAGAGUAGGCAAGAAUAUCUCAUAUCAGCUACUCUGCUUUGAAACUUGGAAAUCCUAAGUUUGCUGAAGAUGGUGCAAAUGAUAUAUAGUUAUAGUGAGAUUUGAUGUGCAUUGGGUUAUGUUCAUAGGUUGUCUUACAACUCAAAUUUUGUGUAUUUCUGAAUCAAUGUCUUUUAUCCUUCAACUUCAUGGUUGUUGUUGGUAUCAUCGUGGCUAACAAAUUCGUCGGAAAUCAAAACCAUUUUUCCUCUUAUGUUGCGUGUAACUUAUCAUCAUUAUGAAAUGUCACUUAUGUUGCAUAUUAUAGCUUUAUUGUUGAUAGGUGAUGGGUAAGGCAUGGUUUUAACUUCCCAAUUUUCCUCACAUUCAUUCACUACGUUGCCGCUUGGGUUCUGCUUGCAAUUUUCGAAACUAUAUCAGUGCUUCCAGUGUCGCCUUCAUCUGAAUCAACUCCAUUCUCUUCUAUAUUUGCAAUUGGCCCUGUUAUGGCUUUUGCAUCUAGUCUUACAAACACCAGCCUCAAGUAUAACAGGUUCGUGAUCUUGCUCUAACAUACUUAUUAGCCGAAACUGCAUCAGAGUUCUAUAUUUUCUUCUGUGUAAAAUAUUUGGAAUUUUCUUUUCUGGUUUUUACCAGUUUUGGUUUAUGCAGUGUUGGGCAUGGUUCUCCUAUGUAAUAUGGUUCAUGUGGAAGAGUUAAUGGUUUAUUAACAACAGAUUAUAUAUGUUUUGUGAACUUACAUAUGGUUGUGUCGUUUGUAAAUGUCAUUUAGUAAAUCAGAAUGUUUGACAAUUGAAACAUGACACGAGCCUUAGUUGAUACUACUUGACAUGUUUUGCUAUAGCUACAGUAGUGAUGAAUUCAAGAUCUUCGGCCUUUGCCACACGAAGCCAAAGUUUUAUGGACCGCGGUUUGGCAAGACACCGUAUCAAUGCUUUUGAAUCCAACAUAAUGAUGAAGAUGAACUAUGAAUUUUAGUGAUCUUGGAUAAAUCCAUAUAGACUAUGUUGCUAUCAAACACGUUGUGUUGCUCACUUUAACAAUCAUGAGUAACCUUCUUGCGAAACCUAACGCCAGGUUGUAUGGAUUCUAAUGUUAUGGAGGCGAAGAUUGUUGUGAGUUCUUGUGGACAUGAUCGACCUUUUUGUGCUACUGGUGUGAAGAGGUCGAAGAGUAUUAGGAUGAUUUAUUUUGUUUGGGAACAUAAGCACUUGAUAUGAAUAUUGCUGAAGUUUGGGUGAUGAAAAUAAGGACAGAAUUGAGGCAAAUAACGGGCUUGCAUUUCGUGAAAGAUGGAUGCAAAGUAUUGUAUUGAUAUGUAUCAUUAUGUUCCAAAUAAGUCACUUUUAACACCAUUAUCGAUAUUUUCAUAACCGAUCAAAAUUUCAGAUGAACACUGAUGGACUAUUUGUAACAAAUUUUGGAAUUUUGCAGAAUUUUGGAAACAAGUUCCUCCAAAUGAGCCAUACAAUGUUGUUCUCAGAUGAUGUGAGGUUUCAUGUUCUAUCGAAAUAUGACAAAGGUAAAAGAAGUUGUAGAGGAAAUUUGUAGCAUCAUAACACUAGGAGGUAAAGAAAGUCUGCAGAUUCAUUAGCAAUAGUUGAUUGUGAACUUCAAACUGUUAUUCACACUGAUGAUUCCAACUAUAAUGGAGAAGCAGAAAUAGGUUGGUUCA